rnacentral:lncRNA from 7 species
AUAUGCAUUGCAUUCAUAUGCAUUCAUUGAAGUGAUAUUUGCAGAUGGUGUGGUUUUAUACUCUAAGAGAUAUGAAGGCAGAGGACUUACACAUUGCAUUCCUAUGCAUACAUUGAAGUGAUAUUUGCAGGUAUUGUUGACGCAGGGAAGUGUUAUACAACCUAUUGUGGUCGUUCGAGGAAAUGAGAUGGCAUUGGUUAUUUUGGGACUAUUGAGUUCUAUAUCUACAAGUAUUUCUGAUCUCAAUUGUGAUCCCUUUUAAAAUGUUGAUUAAUUCAAUUCUUUUGGUUUAAAUAUCUCGUCAAAAUAUUUUACUUGCUGAGAUGUUUCAUCUCACUCUUGCAUUACUCAAUGCAGGUACUUAAUUCAUGUUGGGAAUGAGGGAAGUAGCAGCACGUCCACCUUCACUCUCAUAAUAACGCUGCCCAGGCACAACCAUGAUUUAAUUAGAAACUUCUUGUCAAGGAUGUUUGUUUUUAACUAGUCGUGCACACUAGUUAAUUCAGUUUAUGUCGUUAUGGUUAUCUUCCCAUUGCUAGCAGAUUAUUAAUGUCUA